GUUGUUAAAUUCCACAAAACUACAUUGCCAAUGUGAUCUUGUUGAAACUACGAAAUGUAGAUUACGGCGGUUCACUUUGAUUAUCAAAGAUAAUCCGAACAUGCACUUAAGUAGUAUUAAAUAAAGACGAUACUCCAGUAGUAGUAGAAAUUCCAAAACAGUAGACGAUACUCCAGUCAAUGUGCAAAAUAAAUAAAUAAAGACAAUCACUCAAAAGUUAAGAAUAAACAAGCCACUGCAAAAAUUAUGAUUGGUUAUUCGAGUAGUGUACUUCGGUUCUUCCAAAACACUACAAAUCGAAAGGCUUCUCAUCAAAAAAAAGAUCUCCAACAUUAGAUACAAUAAUAAGCAAUCUUAUAUUUCUGCUAAACUACAAGAAAAACCAUUUAAUUUUA
rnacentral:lncRNA from 1 species